UUCGCUGGCUAUAAAAUAGCUUUUCGCUCGUCGCUCACGGCUUUCCAAGCCAAGCAGGGUUGAAGGAUCGUUCCCUGUAGCCUUCUCGAGGAGAAACAGAGUUGUGCUGCGUUGAGGGCGUGAAUCAGGUUCGAAAAAAAUCGUUGGAUUCAGCAUUAGCGGCCAGACCUGAUCUAACAAUUUUUUUUAAAUCCACGCUCAUCGGAAGUAUUAAAAGAAGAAAACAAAAUCUUCAAGCCCAGUCUACGGAAUGGUUCUUGUGAUUCUUUCGUUACCUUUUCAAUUAGAAAUUCCAGCGGAAAGAUUGUCCGAGGACAAACAGAGCUAUGCUGCGUUGAGGGUGAGGACACGAAUCAGGUUUGGAAAAAAUCAUCUUAGAUUCAGCAUUAGUGGCCAGUCCGGUUAGCAUAGGGCGUCUUAGUUCAUAUGGUUUUUUUCCCUUUCCUUUCCAAUUAGAAAUUCCAGCAGAAAUAUCUGUUUCUCUCUCUCUCUCUCUCUCUCUUUAUUUUGUUUGCUUUGAUUUUUAUUGUAUUUUUAGUUCAGCCUUUUGUUUAUCAUUAUAUCUUUUCUACUUGACGUGGAAUGUUUCCGAGACUUCAUAACUUCUUGCGCCAUAUUUUGAUUCACGAUGCACAAAUCCUGAGGCUUUGUAUAAACAUAAUUAUCAGUGACCUAAUGAAAAGUGCAAAGAUAGAUGUUGGGGUCCGCUUUGCAGCCUUAACUUGACAUGUUUUGGUUGCCAGUAUCACCCAUAAAUUUCUAUAUAGUUGGUUUUAACCCUGAUAGAAAAUCAUUUGCGGGAGAAUCUUAUAAUGACUGAUUGAGUCUUUAUUUAGACUUGAUAGGAGAGGAGAAUCAUAUCAGAACACAUGCAUAUCAUUAUACUACUAACAUGACUCUGCCAAAUUAAAGCGAUCACAAUUUCUUUUUCUUUCAAUAGUUCUGAUUUCUUUUUUCCCCCCAUUGUGGGCAUGAAGCGCAUCAUUGUGUCUUUUCAAAAGAUACUAUAUGUGGGUUUACAAAGGAGCUACAAGCUGCUGUGUAUCUUCAAUUGAACAAGUUCUUGAACUAUGAAUUGUAAACCACAUAAUCUAAAACAUUAAGUUUUGAUGAACUUCCCAUUCUUGUAUUUCUUUUUAAUAUUAUUUUGACUUGAGCCCUUACGAGACUUCUAUAUUGACUGAUUUGAGGGGAACGACAAUCAUAUCCAAUUCUUGAAGGAUUGGCAAGAUAAAAACAGUUGCGAAUGGCAACUCUUGUAAUAAAGCGUUCCUUUUGUUUCAUUUUCAUGUGAGUAUAAAUUUGCCUUAAGUUCUAUCUCACUGAAUUCCUAAUAUUCCCCAUUAUGGACUUUCAGUGAACUUUAAACAGAAGCAAAUAUUUGCCUGCAUGCAUUUCUGGAGUGCCAUUGUCAUAAAACAUAAACUAUAUUAAGGUUUGAAGCUGAAUUGGUGAUUACCCUCUGUUGAGUUUGUUAAAUGACUAUGAAUUUGAACAGAUGAUGGAAGAACUUAAAUUUUAUGUACGUUCCAUGUGGCCUUCAAGUCAUUUACUGACAAUGAUUUGCCACUGUGCAUAGUUUUUGAACCACUCAAGGAACAAAUGUUUACAAAAUUAGUAGCUUUACUUUUUUGACCUGUUUAAAUGUUCUGUAUUUAUCUUACUGCCUCAUAUAAGCUCAUGCCAAAUUAAUUCUAUUUAGGUAUGUAUCUCAGUAAAAAGCUUUUUUGCUUCAUUGUAUAAACUCCCUACGGUAUUCAUGUUAUGUUUUCUGUC